rnacentral:tRNA from 1 species
GUUUCCGUAGUGUAGUGGUUAUCACGUAUGUAUGGUCAUCGUUUAUAUGCAAAAGGUCCCCAGUUCGAAACUGGGCAGAGACA